UACGGAGGGUGCAAGCGUUAUCCGGAUUCACUGGGUUUAAAGGGUGCGUAGGUGGGGUGGUAAGUCAGUGGUGAAAUCUCCGAGCUUAACUUGGAAACUGCCAUUGAUACUAUAGGUCUUGAAUUAUCUGGAGGUAAGCGGAAUAUGUCAUGUAGCGGUGAAAUGCUUAGAGAUGACAUAGAACACCCAUUGCGAAGGCAGCUUACUACGGAUUGAUUGACACUGAGGCACGAAAGCGUGGGGAUCAAACAGG
rnacentral:rRNA from 1 species